rnacentral:lncRNA from 1 species
AAGCAGGUGGCUCUUGGAAAUGCCAACGUGCCAGAGAGGGAAUUUUGUCCUCAGCCAUGGCCAGGUGCCGCCCGUGCCACAUCAUUUUUUCCCUGAACCCCCCACAUCAAACUGACAGAGGUGCCAGCAGCAGCUGGGGAGUGCCAGAUGUCCUUUACAAUCCACAGGCCUUGAACAAUUUUGUGCCUGGAUCCAGCAUGCCAUCCCUUUCCCAGGUGUGGGAGCCCUCUGUGAGCGUGGUGCAGCCGGUGUUGGUGGUGCCUGAGGCCGGGGGCUGCCGGUGGGGUGGUGGUGACCUCCUCCAGCAGUGUCUGUGGGCAGCAGGCAUCACCGAGCAGCUGCUGGAAGCCGAGGCCAAGCGGGACCAGCUCCCCGUGGCUUCCCACAGCAUCCCACGGAUCUUCCCCGGAGCUGGGGCCCAGCAGCCGCUCCUCCAGCCCUUGGUGCAGCACCUCGGGCCCUUCCCCAGCCUCCAGCCGGCCGUGGGACACCUGGGGGGACAGCAGGUGAUGGCCACCGCCCUCCCAGCGCAGCAGGUCGUGUUCCUGCCGCAGCCUCUCCAGGUGCCGCAGAGGAUCAUCCUGCAGAUGAAGCAGCCAGGCCCUACCAUGCUCACCCUGCUCCCCAGCCCAGCCUCCUGUGUCCUGGGGAGUGGCCAGGGGCCAAGGCCACCAGCCCACAAACCCCACUGCCACCCCCAUCCUGCCACCCCAUCACACCCUGGAGCAGCAGCACUCCCCACGCCCCACGCUGUGGGCAUUGAGCUGCAGCAUGCUGAAAACUUCAGGGACCCAAAAUGUGGGAAAAUGGAUUAUUUUGUUUAUUUUUAAUAAAAAUUCUUG